rnacentral:rRNA from 1 species
AGUGAACGCUGGCGGUAGGCCUAACACAUGCAAGUCGAACGGCAGCACAGUAAGAGCUUGCUCUUACGGGUGGCGAGUGGCGGACGGGUGAGGAAUACAUCGGCAUCUAAUUUUUCGUGGGGGAUAACGUAGGGAAACUUACGCUAAUACCGCAUACGACCUACGGGUGAAAUCAGGGGAUCUUCGGACCUUUCGCGAUUGAAUGAGCCGAUGUCGGAUUAGCUAGUUGGCGGGGUAAAGGCCCACCAAGGCGACGAUCCGUAGCUGGUCUGAGAGGAUGAUCAGCCACACUGGAACUGAGACACGGUCCAGACUCCUACGGGAGGCAGCAGUGGGGAAUAUUGGACAAUGGGCGCAAGCCUGACCCAGCCAUACCGCGUGGGUGAAGAAGGCCUUCGGGUUGUAAAGCCCUUUUGUUGGGAAAGAAAAGCAGCAGGUUAAUACCCCGCUGUUCUGACGGUACCCAAAGAAUAAGCACCGGCUAACUUCGUG